CAGUUUCUCUCUUUGCUGUCGCGACGCCCGCCAGGGCUUUAUAAAACAAGGUCUAUAAGGGACGGUGGGUCGGGGUUGGUUGGGUGGCACUACCCGCAGAGCGUCCGUCCAGUCAACAUUCUUGCGAUCGGCAGAUCGCAGCUUCGAACCUCGCUGAGGACAGUUUCUCUCUUUGCUGUCGCGACGCCCGCCAGGGCUUUAUAAAACAAGGUCUAUAAGGGACGGUGGGUCGGGGAUGGAUGGGUGGCACUACCCGCAGAGCGUCCGUCCAGUCAACAUUCUUGCGAUCGGCAGAUCGCAGCUUCGAACCUCGCUCAGUGCUGUUUCUCUCUUUGCUGUCGCGUCGACCGUUAUAAAACAAGGUCUAUAAGGGACGGUGGGUCGGGGUUGGUUGGGUGGCACUACCCGCAGAGCGUCC